UACAGAGGGUGCGAGCGUUGUUCGGAAUUAUUGGGCGUAAAGGGUGCGUAGGCGGCGGGGCAAGUCUGAUGUGAAAUCCCGGGGCUCAACCCCGGAACUGCAUUGGAUACUGCCUUGCUUGAGUACUGGAGAGGGAACUGGAAUUUACGGUGUAGCAGUGAAAUGCGUAGAGAUCGUAAGGAAGGCCAGUGGCGAAGGCGAGUUCCUGGACAGUUACUGACGCUGAGGCACGAAGGCCAGGGGAGCAAACGGG
rnacentral:rRNA from 1 species